GACAGCUAGGAUGUUGGCUUGGAAGCAGCCAUUCAUUUAAAGAGUGCGUAACAGCUCACUAGUCGAGUGCUUUGGCGUGGAUAAUAAUCGGGCAUAAGCUAUUUACCGAAGCUGUGGGAUGUGUAAACAUCGGUAGGGGAGCAUUCUAGCGACGCUGAAGGUGAGAGGACAACUCUUGCUGGAGUUUCUAGAAAAGCAAAUGUAGGUAUAAGUAACGAUAAAGGAGGUGAGAAACCUCCUCGCCGAAAGACUAAGGGUUCCUGAUCAACGCUAAUCGGAUCAGGGUUAGUCGGGGCCUAAGGGGAAGCCGAACGGCGCACCCGAUGGAAGAACCGGUUAAUAUUCCGGUACUAAUUAUGUGAGCGAUGUGGAGACGGAGAUGUGACGGUCCUGCCACCUGACGGAAUAGGUGGUUGAAGGGUGUAGGAGUUGAUCUGAGUAGGCAAAUCCGCUCGGAGAUCCGAACCUGACAGUACUCUGAGUGCUUGCACAAGGAGAUAUGGACAACUGUAACGGUGCUCCCAAGAAAAUCCGCUAAGCAUAUUGCAUGAUUACCCGUACCAUAAACCGACACAGGUGGUUGGGUUGAGUAUACUAAGGCGCUCGAGUGAUUCGCGGUUAAGGAACUAGGCAAAAUAGUCCUGUAACUUCGGAAUAAAGGACGCUCACAGUGAAGGCUGUGAGCCGCAGAGAAUAGGCCCAGGCGACUGUUUAACAAAAACACAUGGCUAUGCUAAAUCGAAAGAUACUGUAUAUAGCCUGACACCUGCCCGGUGCUGGAAGGUUAAGAGGAGAUGUCAUCGCAAGAGAAGCAUUGAAUUGAAGCCCCAGUAAACGGCGGCCGUAACUAUAACGGUCCUAAGGUAGCGAAAUUCCUUGUCGGGUAAGUUCCGACCUGCACGAAUGGUGUAACGAUCUGGGUACUGUCUCAACCGCGAGCUCGGUGAAAUUGUAGUAUCGGUGAAGAUGCCGAUUACCCGCAACGGGACGAAAAGACCCCGUGAACCUUUACUAUAGCUUUGCAUUGGAUUUGGGUAACAAAUGUGUAGGAUAGGCCGGAGACUGUGAAGCGGGUACGCCAGUAUUCGUGGAGUCGCCGUUGAAAUACGGCCCUUUUGUUAUUUGGGUUCUAACUCGCGGAUGCGAGGACAUUGCAUGGUGGGUAGUUUGACUGGGGUGGUCGCCUCCAAAAGUGUAACGGAGGCUUCUAAAGGUUCCCUCAGCACGCUUGGUAACCGUGCGUAGAGUG
rnacentral:rRNA from 1 species